rnacentral:lncRNA from 1 species
GGCUAUUAUUUUCAGUACUAGACUUUUUUUUUAAUUAACAUUUUAAUUUGCAUGUCAUUUUCAGGCAAAACAGAAUCACUGUUUUUUUCUCUGGUAUGGGUUAUGUUCUUUUGUUCAGUGCUUCUCAUGGUCAUUUGGGUUAUCUUGAUAUAAUAAGUAUGCAUUAGUGCCUUAUCUUAGUUGAGCAGGGUACCAAUCUCCUCUUAUUUCCUUAGCUUUAAGGAGGCACAGCUUUAAAGCAGCCCAGACCCAAUCCUUGUGCAGUAUUAUCAGUAUUAGCUGAGUUCUGAAGUUAGUUCUUCUGUUUUCUAAUAGAAUGUCCUUUAAAGUGUAAGAGCUGUGUGUCCUUAAUCACUGUAACUGCACACACAUUUGCGAUGAAGGUUGAGAUUAUGCUGACUGUUCAGGUGCCGUUAUUGCAUGACAUCCUUUUGUCUAUGAAAAUGUAUCUGAGGUAUUUCUAGCAAAUUCCUUAAAUGAAACUAGAAGAUGUAAGGUUUGCACAUUGAAUGACAAAAAAAGAAAAAAAAAAAAGUGCUCAAGAUUUUUACUUCUUGACUCUAACCAGCUGGAAAGAGAUACAGGUCUCCAUGUCCUACAGUUCUUUGACUGCCCAGAUGAAGGAACAAAGGAACCAUUUGUUACAGAACCUUGCAGAAAUUCUAACGAGCCCUUCUGUGCUGGAAUGCAUCAAGCAAAUUGCCCGCAAAUACAGCUGGACUUGUGCUGAGCUAAAUGUGGGCACUGCAGUUUUAAAGCCCAUUUAA